rnacentral:rRNA from 1 species
GGUUAAGCGACUAAGCGUACACGGUGGAUGCCCUGGCAGUCAGAGGCGAUGAAGGACGUGCUAAUCUGCGAUAAGCGUCGGUAAGGUGAUAUGAACCGUUAUAACCGGCGAUUUCCGAAUGGGGAAACCCAGUGUGAUUCGUCACACUAUCAUUAACUGAAUCCAUAGGUUAAUGAGGCGAACCGGGGGAACUGAAACAUCUAAGUACCCCGAGGAAAAGAAAUCAACCGAGAUUCCCCCAGUAGCGGCGAGCGAACGGGGAGCAGCCCAGAGCCUGAAUCAGUGUGUGUGUUAGUGGAAGCGUCUGGAAAGGCGUGCGAUACAGGGUGACAGCCCCGUACACAAAAAUGCACAUA